rnacentral:rRNA from 1 species
GACGAAGGGGGCUAGCGUUGUUCGGAAUUACUGGGCGUAAAGCGCGUGUAGGCGGUUAUCCAAGUCGGGUGUGAAAGCCCUGGGCUCAACCCAGGAAGUGCAUUCGAAACUGGCGCGCUUGAAUAUGGAAGAGGGUCGCGGAAUUCCCGGUGUAGAGGUGAAAUUCGUAGAUAUCAGGAGGAACACCAGUGGCGAAGGCGGCGACCUGGGCCAAUAUUGACGCUGAGGUGCGAAAGCGUGUGGAGCAAACAGG